UUCGAGCGGUAGAGAGAAGCUUGCUUCUCUUGAGAGCGGCGGACGGGUGAGUAAUGCCUAGGAAUCUGCCCGGUAGUGGGGGAUAACCUGGGGAAACCCAGGCUAAUACCGCAUACGUCCUACGGGAGAAAGGGGGCUUCGGCUCCCGCUAUCGGAUGAGCCUAUGUCGGAUUAGCUAGUUGGUGAGGUAACGGCUCACCAAGGCUACGAUCCGUAGCUGGUCUGAGAGGAUGAUCAGCCACACUGGAACUGAGACACGGUCCAGACUCCUACGGGAGGCAGCAGUGAGGAAUAUUGGACAAUGGGCGAAAGCCUGAUCCAGCCAUGCCGCGUGUGUGAAGAAGGUCUUCGGAUUGUAAAGCACUUUAAGUUGGGAGGAAGGGCAGUAAAUUAAUACUUUGCUGUUUUGACGUUACCGACAGAAUAAGCACCGGCUAACUCUGUGCCAGCAGCCGCGGUAAU
rnacentral:rRNA from 1 species